rnacentral:rRNA from 1 species
GACGAACGCUGGCGGCGUGCUUAACACAUGCAAGUCGAACGAGCUCCAACCAGUCGCAAGACUGGGGAAGAGCUAGUGGCGAACGGGUGAGUAACACGUGAGCAACCUGCCUCGAAGACUGGGAUAACAGCGGGAAACCGCUGCUAAUACCGGAUAUCCCCAUUGGGCCGCAUGACCCGAUGAGGAAAUGAAUUUCGCUUCGAGAGGGGCUCGCGGGCUAUCAGGUUGUUGGUGGGGUAACGGCCCACCAAGCCUACGACGGCUAGCUGGUCUGAGAGGACGACCAGCCACACUGGGACUGAGACACGGCCCAGACUCCUACGGGAGGCAGCAGUGGGGAAUCUUGCGCAAUGGGCGAAAGCCUGACGCAGCAACGCCGCGUGCGGGAUGACGGCCUUCGGGUUGUAAACCGCUUUCAGCAGGGACGAAAUUGACGGUACCUGCAGAAGAAGCUCCGGCCAACUACGUGCCAGCAGCCGCAGUAACAC